rnacentral:lncRNA from 1 species
UUAUGAACAAUAUAAUAUGAUACUUGCUUCAAAUUAAUUCCUUUGCCAUUGGUCAUUAUUUUAAAUUGGUUCUUAUUCUCUAUUUCCCACAAAAACUCUAAAAUAUACUUUUUCAUAGAAGGAACUCGGUGCUGUCUGAAGUGUGAUUAUUUGGAAUGAUGUUAGCACAAGAGUCAGCACUAUUCUGGGUAUAUUUAAGCCUUCAAAUCCAUUCUGAACCACUGGUUUUAAUUUUUUUUCUCUCUAUAAGGUUUAAAAGGAAAUCACAGCAUUUGAAAAAUUCCGUCCACUUUACAAUCUCUUAUCUCAUCACUUUCUCCUCCUAUUACAACCCUUCUGUAUUCCUGAUUAUACCUAUUAUACUUUCCAUCUAGGGAAAAAUAGCAAGCCGCUGAAAAGAGUACUUCCAUUAAAAAAUAAAGAAGUGUUCCAUUAAAAACAGACAGUUAUAAGGGAAGGGAAAGGGAGAAAAGAUGGAGAACAGCUGCACUUUCAUUAUUAUUCUAAUGUAUUCUUCUUUUAUUCACUCUGAGAAUAAGAGGCAAGCUCAGCCUGCAGUUUCUAUAUGUAUUUUAUAAUGUGUUCAUCACUCUUGCUAACAGAGUCCUAGACCGAAAUUAAAGUAACUAGAAGACACAAUCUUCCCGGAAGGAUGGGUGUGAUUUAAAUGGCACAACCAUCCUCUUCUAUAUGCAUUGCUGAGGUUUUUAUAAUGCUAGGGAGGGUUAUCAGCUUGAUUUUUAGAAUAGAGAUUAUUAAGCAAUUAUUGAAAUUGAAGGAUUAAUUAGGGGUGGAUUGAUCAUGAUGUAAUCAUAAUAAGAAAGAACAAGAAGGUAAGAAGAAAAGGUUUAUGAAGAAAAAAUGUUGAAAAUUAUUCUUCAGUGUUGAAUUCAGUAGGUGGUCCAAUUCAUAUAAAUAUUAAUCAGAAGUUUUUAGAUAGCAUGAUGGGUUGUACAAAUUAUGAGAUAACUAACUAAUACAGAAAGAAUAUUUAUGACUUUGAAACUAGGAGGAAUUUUUCUCUAAAGACAGGAAAAAU